rnacentral:rRNA from 1 species
GACGAACGCUGGCGGCGUGCCUAAUACAUGCAAGUAGAACGCUGAAGAGAGGAGCUUGCUCUUCUUGGAUGAGUUGCGAACGGGUGAGUAACGCGUAGGUAACCUGCCUUGUAGCGGGGGAUAACUAUUUGAAACGAUAGCUAAUACCGCAUAACAAUGGAUGACACAUGUCAUUUAUUUUAAAGGGGCAAUUGCUCCACUACAAGAUGGACCUGCGUUGUAUUAGCUAGUAGGUGAGGUAAUGGCUCACCUAGGCGACGAUACAUAGCCGACCUGAGUGGGUGAUCGGCCACACUGGGACUGAGACACGGCCCAGACUCCUACGGGAGGCAGCAGUAGGGAAUCUUCGGCAAUGGGGGCAACCCUGACCGAGCAACGCCGCGUGAGUGAAGAAGGUUUUCGGAUCGUAAAGCUCUGUUGUAAGUCAAGAACGGGUGUGAGAGUAGAAAGUUCACACUGUGACGGUAGCUUACCAGAAAGGGACGGCUAACUACGUG